ensembl:snoRNA Gm25420 small nucleolar RNA SNORA17
CCUGCCCCUAGAGGCAGUGCAGGUGUGGCUGCUGUGCCACAUGUGCAUCAGUAGGUGGCAGAGAGGAGAAAGGCUAUGUCUGCUCAUCUGACCUGUGAACAGAAAUGAUUAUGGACAGGCUAAUAUU